AUUGAACGCUGGCGGCAGGCCUAACACAUGCAAGUCGAACGGAAGAACGGAACUUGCUUGUGGUUUCAGCGGCGGACGGGUGAGUAAUGCCUAGGAACCUGCCUGUCUGCGGUGUAUAACGUCCGGAAACAGGCGCUAAUACUGCAUACGUGCAUCGGGCGAAAGGGGGGGAUCUUCGGACCUCACGCCAUCACAUGAGCCUAGGUCGGAUUAGCUAGUUGGUGGGGUAAAGGCCUACCAAGGCGACGAUCCGUAGCUGGACUGAGAGGAUGAUCAGCCACACUGGAACUGAGACACGGUCCAGACGCCUAAGGGAGGCAGCAGUGGGGAAUAUUGGACAAUGGGCGCAAGCCUGAUCCAGCCAUGCCGCGUGUGUGAAGAAGGCCUUCGGAUUGUAAAGCCCUUUAAGUGGGGAGGAACGGCAGUAAGUUAAUACCUAGCUGUUUUGACGGUACCAACAGAAUAAGCACCGGCUAACUUCGUG
rnacentral:rRNA from 1 species